rnacentral:rRNA from 1 species
UGUUCAACGGCCGCGGUAUCCUAACCGUGCGAAGGUAGCGUAAUCACUUGUUCUUUAAAUGCGGACUAGUAUGAAUGGCACUACGAGGGUUAUACUGUCUCCUCUUUCUAAUCAGUGAAACUAAUUUUCCCGUGAAGAAGCGGGAAUAUAAUUAUAAGACGAGAAGACCCUAUGGAGCUUUAAACAACCUAGCAAUUACUUCUAAAAUUAUAAAUUUCAGAAUACUCAUUUUUUAAGCAAUAUGUCUGCAAGUUUUUGGUUGGGGUGACCAUGGAGUAUAACACAACCUCCAUAUUGAAUGAAUUUUAUUCUAAGCUGAAAAUUACUAAUUGAAGCAUCAACACACUGACAUCUAUUGACCCAAUAUAUUUGAUCAACGAACCAAGUUACCCUAGGGAUAACAGCGCAAUCCACUUCAAGAGCCCCUAUCGACAAGUGGGUUUACGACCUCGAUGUUGGAUCAGGGUAUCCCAGUGGCGCAGCCGCUACUAAAGGUUC